GAGGGGCAUCCACAAGCAGAGAUGUUACCUGAUGCAAUCUUCCUACAAAAAAUCUCUGUAAUUUCUUGCUUGUGGUUACUUGAGUUAGUUCUGCAAGUCCCAAAUUACAAGAUACAUGA